UGGGGAAUAUUGCACAAUGGGCGCAAGCCUGAUGCAGCAACGCCGCGUGAACGAUGAAGGUCUUCGGAUCGUAAAGUUCUGUUGCAGGGGAAGAUAAUGACGGUACCCUGUGAGGAAGCCCCGGCUAACUACGUGCCAGCAGCCGCGGUAAUACGUAGGGGGCUAGCGUUUUCCGGAUUUACUGGGCGUAAAGGGUGCGUAGGUGGUCUUUCAAGUCGGUGGUUAAAGGCUACGGCUCAACCGUAGUUAGCCUCCGAAACUGGAAGACUUGAGUGCAGGAGAGGAAAGUGGAAUUCCCAGUGUAGCGGUGAAAUGCGUAGAUGUUGGGAGGAACACCAGUAGCGAAGGCGGCUUUCUGGACUGCAACUGACACUGAGGCACGAAAGCGUGGGUAGCAAACAGG
rnacentral:rRNA from 1 species